AUUGAACGCUGGCGGCAGGCCUAACACAUGCAAGUCGAGCGAGUGGCGGACGGGUGAGUAAUGCAUGGGGAUCUGCCUGAUGGAGGGGGAUAACUACUGGAAACGGUAGCUAAUACCGCAUACUAUCGGAUGAGGCCAUGUGGGAUUAGGUAGUUGGUGAGGUAAAGGCUCACCAAGGCGACGAUCUCUAGCUGGUCUGAGAGGAUGACCAGCCACACUGGGACGGAGACACGGCCCAGACUCCUACGGGAGGCAGCAGUGGGGAAUAUUGCGCAAUGGGCGCAAGCCUGACGCAGCCAUGCCGCGUGUAUGAAGAAGGCCUUAGGGUUGUAAAGUUCUUUCGGUAGGGAGGCGUUACCUACAGAAGAAGCACCGGCUAACUCCGUGCCAGCAGCCGCGGUAAUUC
rnacentral:rRNA from 1 species